rnacentral:rRNA from 1 species
CCUCCCCGCCCUAAGAGUUUGAUCCUGGCUCAGAGUGAACGCUGGCGGUAGGCCUAACACAUGCAAGUCGAACGGCAGCACAGGAGAGCUUGCUCUCUGGGUGGCGAGUGGCGGACGGGUGAGGAAUACAUCGGAAUCUACUUUUUCGUGGGGGAUAACGUAGGGAAACUUACGCUAAUACCGCAUACGACCUACGGGUGAAAGCAGGGGAUCUUCGGACCUUGCGCGAUUGAAUGAGCCGAUGUCGGAUUAGCUAGUUGGCGGGGUAAAGGCCCACCAAGGCGACGAUCCGUAGCUGGUCUGAGAGGAUGAUCAGCCACACUGGAACUGAGACACGGUCCAGACUCCUACGGGAGGCAGCAGUGGGGAAUAUUGGACAAUGGGCGCAAGCCUGAUCCAGCCAUACCGCGUGGGUGAAGAAGGCCUUCGGGUUGUAAAGCCCUUUUGUUGGGAAAGAAAUCCAGCCGGCUAAUACCUGGUUGGGAUGACGUACCCAAGAAUCGGAACCCAGC